AACGAACGCUGGCGGCAGGCCUAAUACAUGCAAGUCGAACGGAUGUAGCAAUACAUUAGUGGCGCACGGGUGCCUAACGCGUGGGAACAUACCCUUGAGUAAGGAAUAAUGUCUGGAAACGGACACUAAUACCUUAUAAUGACUUCGGUCCAAAGAUUUAUCGCUCAAGGAUUGGCCCGCGUCUGAUUAGCUAGUUGGUGAGGUAACGGCUCACCAAGGCGACGAUCAGUAGCUGGUCUGAGAGGAUGAUCAGCCACACUGGGCCUGAGACACGGCCAAGACUCAUACGGGAGGCAGCAGUAAGGAAUAUUGGACAAUGGAGGAAACUCUGAUCCAGCCAUGCCGCGUGAGUGAAGAAGGCCUUAGGGUUGUAAAGCUCUUUCAAUGGUGAAGAUAAUGACGGUAGCCAUAGAAGAAGCCCCGGCUAAAUUCGUGCCAGCCGCCGCGGUAA
rnacentral:rRNA from 1 species